UACGAAGGGUGCAAGCGUUACUCGGAAUUACUGGGCGUAAAGCGUGCGUAGGUGGUUUGUUAAGUCUGUUGUGAAAGCCCCGGGCUCAACCUGGGAAUGGCAAUGGAUACUGGCAGGCUAGAGUGCGGUAGAGGGUAGUGGAAUUCCCGGUGUAGCGGUGAAAUGCGUAGAGAUCGGGAGGAACACCAGUGGCGAAGGCGGCUACCUGGACCAGCACUGACACUGAGGCCCGAAAGCGUGGGGAGCAAACAGG
rnacentral:rRNA from 1 species